AGAGUUACUAUUCUAACUGGAGUGCUUACUUCGUUUGACAUAAAAACUAAAAAUAUACUUUAUCUCUAUGGCUUAAAGUUUAUUUUUAAAUAGCAAAAGAUGUAAGGAAAAACGGUCUGAAAAGAGAAUGACUAUUAAGUGGUGGUGUCCCUCUCGCACAUUUUACAAACAAAAAGCAGUGUUGCUAGCUUAGAGGAUUUUCCACAAAAUCUCGUAAUUUGGACCCCUGUCUUAGUUAUCAGUAGUAUCAGUAGUAGCUUGGGCUUUUUUUUUAUUGCUUAGAUAGGUGGACGAGCUCACAGCCCACCUGAUGUCAAGUGGCUACCGGAACCCAUAGACAUCUACAACGUAAAUGCGCCACCCACCUCGAGAUACAAGUUCUAAGGUCUCAGUACAGCUACAACGGCUACCCCACCCUUCGAACCGAAACGCAUUACUGCUUCACGGCGGAAAUAGGUGGGGUGGUGGUACCUACCCGUGUGGACUCCCAAGAGGUCCUACCACCAGUAAUUACGCAAAUUAUAAUUUUGCGGGUUUAAUUUUUAUUACACGAUGUUAUUCCUUCACCGUGGAAGUCAAUCGUUAACAUUUGUUGAGUGCGUAUUUCAUUAGAAAAAUUGGUACCCGCCUGCGGGAUUCGAACACCGGUGCAUCGCUUCAUACGAAUGCACCGGACGUCUUAUCCUUUAGGGCGUUGUUGAAAAUUAUCGAAAAGGUUAAAAUCAAUCCACUUUACAGGAUUUUAAACAUUUUAUGACAAUAAUAUAUCUAAAUACAUAUUAUUUAAACGAUGUGACUUAAACUUAACUAGAAAAUGCUGCGAGAAUUUAGAAUUUCCAUCAACGUCAAAAAUUAAAUUGGUUCAAAAGAAACGUACAAAGUCAUGGUGAAAUUAGUUGCUGAUGAUGACAAUUUAUUAAAAUAAAUUAUAUAAGAAGUAUUGAUUAUAUGAUAUAUAUUGAUUUUUAUUAGAACAUCAUAUAUUAAUAAAGCUCAUUAACAAAAAAAAUAUUGUUCUAUAUUAAUAAGAACUCUGUUUAAUGGAAAAUUUAAUGGUAGGUAAGUAGAUUUCUGAUGGUUUUCAUGGGAAGCCAGAUUAAUUGUUGGCAUCACCGAAAAAGAGCUAUGAAUGGAUUAAAAGAAAAAUGGCGUCUAUUUACGUUUGUAGUUCGAAGUUAAAAGGGCACUGAUACAGCUUGUGGCUUGUUUUUUUCCGAAAAUCGUGAAAGUUUCCGUGUAAUCAUGGCGAACACUUGUAUUGUAAGUGGUUUUAAGCGAGAAUCCUCUCCAGUUUGUGGAAUAUCCUUCCAUAUAUCAGAUUCAUUGAUAAAUUUUUACUAGUCGUCGCACGCAAGCAUGUAUAUCAUUUGCCUGACGUCAAGCGAACGAGGAGGAUCUUCUAGUAAAUAUGACGUUGGAAUUUCUGGAAAAUGUCCUAUAUAAAGGUCAAACAAGAGGAAUCAAGUACUCAAACGCAAGAAAUAAAAAAUGCCCCGAGAAAAGCAAAAUUACGACAAGAUGUUAAGGUUUUGAAACAAAAACUUAAAAGUCGCGAAAUAGUGAUUGUAAAUAUAAAGUCGAUUUUAGAUUUAUUAAAGAAAAAUGGCGAUUUUUAAUUGAAUUGAAAUUUAAAUUGCGAAAUUUUAAUGAUACUCAUGGUCCACUUAGAUAUUGACUAAAAUAAAUUAUUUAUUUCGUUGAAAAAAAAAGAAUUUACAUAAAAUAGGGGAAAUGUUAUAUUAUUUAUUUAUUUUAUUAGGCUCACAAUACACAUCACAAGCUAAAGAUACAUAAAAAACACAAAUAAAAAGAAACAAUAUCUGGCUAAUAAGACUACAGAAAAUUAACUGAACUUAAUAAUAAUAAUAUAACCAAUAUUUUGUAAAUAGAGAUCAAGUACUAUGUGUAUUGUGUUAUGUGUAUUGACUUGUCAUUUAAGAGUUAUUUAAUUGUCUACAUAUAACAAAUAAAUUAAUUUCAGUUCAUUUCAUUUUAUUACCCAUUGUGUUUUAUUUAUUAAAAUGUAACUAGUAGACUUAAUAUAAACGUAAUAUAAUAUAAUAUAAUAUAAUAUAAUAUAAUAUAAUAUAUAACUUAAUAUAAGGUAAAUUCAAAACUGA